GAGCUGAAGAGUUUGAUCAUGGCUCAGAUUGAACGCUGGCGGCAGGCCUAACACAUGCAAGUCGAGCGGAUGAAGGGAGCUUGCUCCUGGAUUCAGCGGCGGACGGGUGAGUAAUGCCUAGGAAUCUGCCUGGUAGUGGGGGAUAACGUCCGGAAACGGGCGCUAAUACCGCAUACGUCCUGAGGGAGAAAGUGGGGGAUCUUCGGACCUCACGCUAUCAGAUGAGCCUAGGUCGGAUUAGCUAGUUG
rnacentral:rRNA from 1 species